CUUUAGGGUUAACUCCCAGAAGAGCCGCAGUGAAUAGGCCCAAGCGACUGUUUAUCAAAAACACAGGUCUCUGCUAAACCGUAAGGUGAUGUCUAAGGGCUGACGCCUGCCCGGUGCUGGUAGGCUAAGAGGAGUGGUUAGCUGCUGCGAAGCUACGAAUCGGAGCCCCAGUAAUAGGCAGCCGUAAGUAUAACGGUCCUAAGGUUGCGAAAUUCCUUGUCGGGUAACUUCCGACCCGCACGAAAGGUGUA
rnacentral:rRNA from 1 species